ACUCAAAUGAAUUGACGGGGGCCCGCACAAGCGGCGGAGCAUGUGGCUUAAUUCGAUGCGACGCGAAGAACCUUACCUGGGUUUGACAUGCACGGUAAUCCUUCAGAGAUGGAGGGUCCUUCGGGGCCGUGUACAGGUGGUGCAUGGCUGUCGUCAGCUCGUGUCGUGAGAUGUUGGGUUAAGUCCCGCAACGAGCGCAACCCUUGUUCCAUGUUGCCAGCACGUAAUGGUGGGGACUCAUGGGAGACUGCCGGGGUCAACUCGGAGGAAGGUGGGGAUGACGUCAAGUCAUCAUGCCCCUUAUGUCCAGGGCUGCACACAUGCUACAAUGGCUCAUACAGAGGGCUGCGAUGCUGCGAAGCUGAGCGAAUCCCUUAAAGUGAGUCUCAGUUCGGAUCGGGGUCUGCAACUCGACCCCGUGAAGUCGGAGUCGCUAGUAAUCGCAGAUCAGCAACGCUGCGGUGAAUACGUUCCCGGGCCUUGCACACACCGCCCGU
rnacentral:rRNA from 1 species